GAUGCACCUGUUGUUAACAUUUUAUCCAUUUGUUUUAUUAGUUUCUUUCUCUCUCUUUCCCUCUCUCCCUUCCUUCCUUCCUUUCUGCCUUCUCUCUUUCUUUCACCUGCCUACACAUCUAUCUCUCUGUAUUAUAUUUUAUGUUUUCUUCAAAUUUAUUCUUCCCUGGUCAGCUUGUAUAACCAGAUUUUAUCAGUCCUUUCAUUUCUUUCCUUGGUUCAAUCAAUUGCUUUAUUUCUUCUUGCUUUUUUUGACAUAAUGUUUUAUAUUUUGAACUUCUGAUUCAAGACAAUUUUUCGAGUCCACAAAUGUUUGGUUUAAGAUAGUUAAUUAAAUUUCAAGUGUCAUGUUGCAGUUUUCUUCUGCCUCACCACCGUUUUGUUUCUUCGGGUAAAACUUUUGCCAGCUGAAUUGUAUAGUGUCACAUUUUUAUUUAAAGUUUGUCACAGUUUUCAAAGAAGAGGACUGUUUGAUUUGCUGCGUCUUUGUGGGCAGGACUGGCGAUUUGUGUUUCCUAAGAAUCUUGGUUCAAAAUCACCGACUUCUAUCUCUGUUACAAAAUAAGGUUUUCACUAGAUUUUUCUUAAGGAGGAGUGAAGAAAUGGGAGACAGGUUGUGUGCCUUUUGAUUUUUUUUUAAAUAUCUUUUGCCUUGAAUUAUCCUGACUUUUCCUACUUAUUCUUUUUCCUUUCAUCACGAUUCUUCCAAAGGAGGCCCUUCCCUUUCUGUUCUCUUUGCACCCCCACCCCCAGGGCCAUACCUUUACAUGUAGCAUGCCCUCAGAAAUCUUAUCCCUGCAAGCUCUAUUUUCACCUAUUAAAUGAUCUUUCAUUUCUGAUGAGGAUUUUGGAUUAAUUUUAGAUCAAAUUUCCCUAAUUGUCUUUGUUCUGUUUUUUCUUAGUGGUUUUUUUUUUUUUUUUUUUUGAGGAAGAUUAGCCCUGAGUUAACUGCUGCCAAUCCUCCUCUUUUUGCUGAGGAAGGCUGGCCCUGAGCUAACAUCCUUGCCCAUCAUCCUCUACUUUAUACGUGGGAUGCCUGCCACAGCAUGGCGUGCCAAGCGGUGCCAUGUCCGCACCCGGGAUCCGAACCAGCGAACCCCAGGCCACGGAAGGGGAAGGUGCGCACUUAACCGCUGUGCCACUGGCCCGGCCCCUCUUAUUGUGUUUUAAGCGAGAAGUUGAAUUACUGCAAUUAAUAGCCACCAUUGCCUCAGCUACUGAGAACUCCUGUCAAUUUGCUAGAUGUUGAAGUUAUUUUGGGAAAAAAACUGGAAGCUGAAGUUAGAAGCCAUGAAGGGCAGGGAGAGAUUUAAUUUUUCUUCUUUGUUUCAUUUUUUUUUUUUCCUCAAAUAAUGUAUUCUCUUUGAGCUCAAGGUCUUAGAGCUAAGGAGAUGGAUUAUUUUCAGAUGAACAGAGGAUUGGCUGUACUUUGGG
rnacentral:lncRNA from 1 species